rnacentral:rRNA from 1 species
GAUGAACGCUGGCGGCGUGCCUAAUACAUGCAAGUCGAGCGAACAGAUGAGGAGCUUGCUCCUCUGACGUUAGCGGCGGACGGGUGAGUAACACGUGGAUAACCUACCUAUAAGACUGGGAUAACUUCGGGAAACCGGAGCUAAUACCGGAUAAUAUAUUGAACCGCAUGGUUCAAUAGUGAAAGACGGUUUUGCUGUCACUUAUAGAUGGAUCCGCGCCGCAUUAGCUAGUUGGUAAGGUAACGGCUUACCAAGGCAACGAUGCGUAGCCGACCUGAGAGGGGGAUCGGCCACACUGGAACUGAGCCACGGUCCAGACUCCUACGGGAGGCAGCCGUAGGGAAUCUUCCGCAAUGGGCGAAAGCCUGACGGAGCAACGCCGCGUGAGUGAUGAAGGUCUUCGGAUCGUAAAACUCUGUUAUUAGGGAAGAACAAAUGUGUAAGUAACUAUGCACGUCUUGACGGUACCUAAUCAGAAAGCCACGGCUAACUACGUG